ACUCCUACGGGAGGCAGCAGUGGGGAAUAUUGCACAAUGGGCGAAAGCCUGAUGCAGCGACGCCGCGUGAGGGAUGACGGCCUUCGGGUUGUAAACCUCUUUCGACAGGGACGAAGCGCAAGUGACGCUACCUGUAGAAGAAGCACCGGCCAACUACGUGCCAGCAGCCGCGGUAAUACGUAGGGUGCGAGCGUUGUCCGGAAUUACUGGGCGUAAAGAGCUUGUAGGCGGUUUGUCGCGUCGUCUGUGAAAACU
rnacentral:rRNA from 1 species